CAGGGAUUGCCCUAGUAACGGCGAGUGAAGCGGCAACAGCUCAAAUUUGAAAUCUGGCCCUCGGGUCCGAAUUGUAAUUUGUAGAGGAUGUUUUUGGUGCGGUAUCUUCCGAGUUCCUUGGAACAGGACGCCUUAGAGGGUGAGAGCCCCGUACGGUUGAAUGCCUAGCCUUUGUAAAACUCCUUCGACGAGUCGAGUAGUUUGGGAAUGCUGCUCUAAAUGGGAGGUAAAUUUCUUCUAAAGCUAAAUACUGGCCAGAGACCGAUAGCGCACAAGUAGAGUGAUCGAAAGAUGAAAAGCACUUUGAAAAGAGGGUUAAAUAGCACGUGAAAUUGUUGAAAGGGAAGGAUUUAUGACCAGACUUUUUCUAGGCGAAUCAUCCGGUGUUCUCACCGGUGCACUUCGUUUAGUUUAGGCCAGCAUCGAUUUUCGGGGCGGGAUAAAAGCUUCAGGAAUGUGGCUCCCUCGGGAGUGUUAUAGCCUGUUGUAUAAUACCGCCCUGGGGAUCGAGGUACGCGCUUCUGCAAGGAUGCUGGCGUAAUGGUUAUCAAUCACCCGUCUUGAAACACGGACCAAGGAGUCGAACAUUUGUGCAAGUGUUUGGGUGUUAAACCCUCACGCGUAAUGAAAGUGAACGGAGGUGAGAGCCCUUACGGGUGCAUCAUCGACCGAUCCUGAUGUCUUCGGAUGGAUUUGAGUAAGAGCAUAACUGUUCGGACCCGAAAGAUGGUGAACUAUGCGUGGAUAGGGUGAAGCCAGAGGAAACUCUGGUGGAGGCUCGCAGCGGUUCUGACGUGCAAAUCGAUCGUCAAAUCUGCGCAUGGGG
rnacentral:rRNA from 1 species